UGAGUCGGCCGGGCGGCCGCGUCGAGGGCGACCUCGCCGAGGAACGUCCGGGCUCCGCAGAGCACGGUGGUGGGUAACGCCCACCCGGGGUGACCCGCGGGACAGUGCCACAGAGAACAGACCGCCACGUCGUGGGCCUCGGCCGGCGACGGGGUAAGGGUGAAACGGUGGUGUAAGAGACCACCAGCGUGCCGGGUGACCGGCACGGCUCGGUAAACCCCACCUGGAGCAAGGUCAGACAGGGAGCGUCCGAGGGCUGCUCGCCCGAGCUCCCGGGUGGACCGCUGGAGGCGUGCGGCAACGUACGUCCUAGAGGGAUGGCCGCCACCCGCGCGGGGGCAACCGCGCGCGGGGACAGAACCCGGCGUACAGGCCGACUCAUCCA
rnacentral:RNase_P_RNA from 1 species